GACGUAGGGCGCGAGCGUUGUCCGGAUUUAUUGGGCGUAAAGGGCUCGUAGGCGGUUUGUCGCGUCGGGAGUGAAAACCAGGUGCUUAACACCUGGCUUGCUUUCGAUACGGGCAGACUAGAGGCAUGCAGGGGAGAACGGAAUUCCUGGUGUAGCGGUGAAAUGCGCAGAUAUCAGGAGGAACACCGGUGGCGAAGGCGGCAUCCUGGACCGGCAUUGACGCUGAGGCGCGAAAGCCAGGGGAGCAAACGGG
rnacentral:rRNA from 1 species